CAUGUCACUUCUGAGACUAGGUUGUAAAAGACAUUGUGAUUUUUUUACCUCUCUCUCUCUCUCUCUCUCUCUCUCUCUCAGGUCACUCACUAGGGGAAGGUCAAGUGCGAGCAGCUUCCAUAAAGGCCCACACUCUGAGACACUUAGGUCUUUGGAAAGUCCCAAGUGAAGAACUGAGGCUUCCUGCCAAUUGUUAAGGUUGAGUCUUCUUGAAAGCAAGUCCUCCGGUUCCAAUCAAGCCUUCAGACAACUUUAGUCCCUGCCAACAUGCUGAGUGCAACCUGAAUCAUGUACUAAACUUCUCCCAAGUUCUUGACUCCCCCCCAAACUGUGGGGAACCACUGGAUGGAUUCAGGCUGACUUAGUCAAGGGAAUGCUGUGGAACUUGUACUUUGCCUCCACAUCAACAGUAGCACCUGCGGUGACCCUUUUCAGAAGCGUCCCUGCUCACUUUCCUCAGGACAAAGCUUUUCCUUUCUCCCUGAACUUUGACAGGACCUAUCCUCUGAGGUGAAAAGGUGAAAGUAUUUGCCAUGCCCUGUGAUGAAUUCAGAAAAGAACUGGUCACGGGGCUUAUGCAGGAGCAGAGGUAAGCUCUGUAGGAGAGGUACAAUAACAAAUCACUGUAUGGAUUCCAAGCGGGAAUGCGGGACAGCCUUAGAAGUCCCUUUACUAUAAAGUCACCCUUAUCCCCCGUUCUCUUCACACAAUAGGAAAAAGUGAUAGAGCUGGGAAAAAUCCGGUGGAAGCUGUUAUUUUGUUUUUGUUUUUUUUUCUUUGUUUUGUUUUUGAGAGGGAGGUAGAGGGCCCAAGUUGAGCCAGUGGCAGAGAGAGACAGAGACAGAGAGAGAGAGAGAGAGAGAGAGAGAGAGAAGCGGGGCUCAAGCCGGGCUCCUGUUCACCGGAUGUGGGGCUCAAGCUCACGUGAAACGGGAGUCAUGCUCACCCGAAUCGGGACUGGAACUCCAGAACCGUGAGAUCCUGACCUGAGCUGAGCCAAAGUCAGAUGUUGGCUCAACCGACUGAGCCACCCAGGUGCUCUAGAAGCUGUUUUUUAAAGACGUCAGAAUAGGGCGGCAAAAGAGGAGAGUACGAAGUGAUAUUAGUGAUUUUGACAACUCGAAAAAGCACGUGCUUUGUUGUCCUAAGUUCACGACACAUUAUUUUUAAGGAAUAGUACUAAGUUAUUAUUUUUUUAAGUAAACUUUUUUUUUUUAAUUUUGAGUAAAAAUACUUCAGGAUAUUUAAGAACGAUUUCUUUUUCUUCCCAGAGGAGGAGUUAAAAGCUCUCUAAGUGAGAGGUAAAUGGAUCAUAGGAAAAUAAAAAGGGUAGAUAACGGUAAUGUCAGUGGGUCAGCCUACAAAAGGAUCAAUUUUUUAGUCUUAGAGCAUAUUAGAUCAUAUUCUCUCUCUCUAGAUAAAUUAAUAUCCACGCAAAGUCCCAGAUUCUCAGAAUGUGGACGCACAAUUACUCAUUUAAUACCAUCACCUUCUUCCUGAGAGAAACUGUAAGGAGCAGAGAGCAUGGUUGAGGGCGGUGGUUUCUCACCACUCCAGAGAAUACCAGGAAUUAAGAGUCUUUCUGAGCAUCUCCUGGCCUCCAGCAACAAGGUGCUUAUCGCUGCUGGGACUGAAGGAAGAGAGAAUAAGAGGGCGACACUCCCCACCCUCUUCUGCUGCCUGAGCACAGCAAAGGUGUCAACAUCUCUGACUGCAUAUAAAAUGCCAUGUGGUUGGCAAUUUGCAUCAGUCAGCUUACGUUUAAGGCCUAUUGGCUUUGACUACUUGAGUGUAUAGUCUGAUAAGCAAAGAAAUAACAUGUAUUCUGCACCUGCAUUUGCUUGGGGAAUGAAGGGUAUGGGAUGCAAAGGCAGCCUUGAGGCACCUGAGGAGACCAUGACCCAGGAAUUCACAAAUACUGAAAAUUCUAGUGGUCCAGUAAAGGAAAUGCCACAUUUCCCAUUAGCAAUUCAUUCCUGACAAGAUAGUGUGCAAUAGCCUCAGGUUCAUGUUUUUUGACCUGUCUACAAAUACUUUUUUUAACUGAAAUUAUUUCUAGUAAAAUUGAUAAUUCUGCUGUUUAUCUCUUGAAAUUUUAUCUCCCAAUUUUUUUGGACACUUGUCACUCUGGAGACUUAUUUGUGUGUAGCCAGGAUGGGAGGGAUCUGCAUCGUGUUCACUACUCAGAGUCUUACUCAGCAUUCUUGUCUUGUUCCUAGAAGAUUUUCUUGCCAUUUUCAUAAGCCUGUAAACUUUUCAAGAGCCAAGAAUGUCAGUAAACUUGCUACUUUCUCCUCCUGCAGCACUUAAUGCUCCUUUUCUUUCCUUUCUUUGGUCUUCCGCCAGAGGGCAUAAUAAACCUAUCGAAUACACAGCCAGACAUAGGCGUGUUUAAUGCAUGAAGUGAAACUUUUGAAUUAGUUUUAAAUGGCUCUAAUUUCAUUACUCUAAGGCAUUGUGGUGAAGAGU